AAAUGAAUUGACGGGGGCCCGCACAAGCAGCGGAGCAUGUGGAUUAAUUCGACGCAACGCGAAGAACCUUACCAGGUCUUGACAUCCAGGUAAACUUGCAGAGAUGCAAGGUGUGCUUGCACAAUCUGAGACAGGUGGUGCAUGGUUGUCGUCAGCUCGUGUCGUGAGAUGUUGGGUUAAGUCCCGCAACGAGCGCAACCCUUGCCGAUAGUUACUAACGAGUAAUGUCGAGGACUCUAUUGGGACUGCCGGGGACAACUCGGAGGAAGGUGGGGACGACGUCAAAUCAUCAUGCCCCUUAUGACCUGGGCUUCACACGUGCUACAAUGGCCGAAACAAAGAGGAGCGAAUACGCAAGUAGGAGCAGAUCUCAAAAAAUCGGUCUCAGUUCGGAUUGUGGGCUGCAACCCGCCCACAUGAAGUCGGAGUUGCUAGUAAUCGCGGAUCAGCAUGCCGCGGUGAAUGCGUUCCCGGGCCUUGUACACACCGCCCGU
rnacentral:rRNA from 1 species